GUCCCGUUCGUCUAGAGGCCUAGGACGCCGCCCUCUCACGGCGGCAACACGGGUUCGAAUCCCGUACGGGACGCCA
rnacentral:tRNA from 2 species